GUCGAGCGACUGAUUAGAAGCUUGCUUCUAUGACGUUAGCGGCGGACGGGUGAGUAACACGUGGGGCAACCUGCCUGUAAGACUGGGAUAACUCCAAGGGAAACCGGAGCUAAUACCGGAUAACAUUUUCUCUUGCAUAAGAGAAAAUUGAAAGAUGGUUUCGGCUAUCACUUACAGAUGGGCCCGCGGUGCAUUAGCUAGUUGGUGAGGUAACGGCUCACCAAGGCAACGAUGCAUAGCCGACCUGAGAGGGUGAUCGGCCACACUGGGACUGAGACACGGCCCAGACUCCUACGGGAGGCAGCAGUGGG
rnacentral:rRNA from 1 species